rnacentral:rRNA from 1 species
AGCAGCCGCGGUAAUUCCAGCUCCAAUAGCGUAUAUUAAAGUUGUUGCAGUUAAAAAGCUCGUAGUUGAAUUUCGGGAUUGACACAUCGGUCGUGCCUUAAGGGGUAUGAACUGGUGUAGUCAAUUUCUCACCUUCUGGAGAACCGCGAUGCCCUUAAUUGGGUGUCGCGGGGAACCAGGACCUUUACUUUGAAAAAUUAGAGUGUUUAAAGCAGGCAUUUUGCUUGAAUACAUUAGCAUGGAAUAAUAAAAUAGGACGGCAUGAUUCUAUUUUGUUGGUUUCUAGGAUCACCGUAAUGAUUAAUAGGGAUAGUUGGGGGCAUUAGUAUUCAAUUGUCAGAGGUGAAAUUCUUGGAUUUAUUGAAGACUAACUACUGCGAAAGCAUUUGCCAAGGAUGUUUUCAUUAAUCAAGAACGAAAGUUAGGGGAUCGAAGACGAUCAGAUACCGUCGUAGUCUUAACCAUAAACUAUGCCGACUAGGAAUCAGACGAU